UACGUAGGAGGCAAGCGUUAUUCGGAUUUACUGGGCGUAAAGAGGGCGCAGGUGGUUUUUCAAGUCGGUUGUAAAAUCUCCCCGCUUAACGGGGAGGGACCAUCCGAUACUGCUAGGCUAGAGGGCAGCAGAGGGAGGUGGAAUUCCCGGUGUAGUGGUGAAAUACGUAGAUAUCGGGAAGAACACCAGUGGCGAAGGCGGCCUCCUAGGCUGUUUCUGACGCUGAGGCCCGAAAGCGUGGGGAGCGAACAGGAUUAGAUACCCCGGUA
rnacentral:rRNA from 1 species